GACGAACGCUGGCGGCGUGCCUAAUACAUGCAAGUCGAACGCAGUUGCGAACGGGUGAGUAACGCGUAGGUAACUGCCUGGUAGCGGGGGAUAACUAUUGGAAACGAUAGCUAAUACCGCAUACUACCAGAUGGACCUGCGUUGUAUUAGCUAGUUGGUGAGGUAACGGCGCACCAAGGCAACGGUAAAUAGCCGAGCUGAGAGGGUGAGUGGCCAAACUGGGAAUGGGGACCGGCCCAGACUCCUACGGGAGGCAGCAGGAGGGAAUCUUCGGCAAUGGGGGGAACCCUGACCGAGCAACGCCGCGUGAGUGAAGAAGGUUUUCGGAUCGUAAAGCUCUGUUGUUAAGGAAGCGGUACUUAACCAGAAAGGGACGGCUAACUACGUGCCAGCAGCCGCGGUAAUAC
rnacentral:rRNA from 1 species